rnacentral:rRNA from 1 species
AAAGAGUUAAAUAAUUAUAAAAGUUAUUGUGUCAAUAUUAUUUUAAAUAAUUAUUUUGAAAUGAAAUGUUAUUCGUUUUUAAUGAUAUCUAGUUUUUUUAGAAAAAAAUUAAAUUUUAAAUUUAUUAAAAUAAUAAUUUUAAUUAAUUAAAAUUAUUAUUAAUAAUUUUUAUAUUUUAAGGGAUAAGCUUUAAAUUAAAUUUUUAUAAUAAUAAAUUUUAUUUUAAAAAUUUUAUAAUUUAUAUUGUUAAUAAAUUUUAUUUUAUUAUAAAUAAUUUUAAAAAAUUAAAAAAUUUAAAAAUUUAUAUUUAAAUUUUUAUAAAAAAAUUAUUUUUAAUAAAAAAAAGUUAGUAAUAAUGAUAAAAUUAGUAUAUAAUAAUUUAAAUUUUAAAUUUUUAUUUUUAAUUUAAUUAAUUAAAAGGAAUUCGGCAAAUAAUUAUAUUCACUUGUUUAACAAAAACAUGUCUUUUUGUAAUUAAUUUAAAGUCUAAUCUGCCCACUGAUUAAUUUAAUUAAAGGGCUGCAGUAUUUUGACUGUACAAAGGUAGCAUAAUCAUUAGUCUCUUAAUUGGUGACUUGUAUGAAAGAUUGGAUGAGAUAUAUACUGUCUCCUAAUUAAUUUAUAGAAUUUAAUUUUUUAUUUAAAAAGUUAAAAUAUUUUAAAAAGACGAGAAGACCCUAUAGAGUUUUAUAAUUUUAAAUUAUAAUGAAUUAUUUAUUUAUUGAAAAUUUUUAUAAUUAAAAUUAUUUUGUUGGGGUGAUAAAAAAAUAAAAUAAACUUUUUUUAGUUAUAAACAUAAAUAAGUGAAUAAAUGAUCCAAUUUUAUUGAUUAUAAGAUUAAAUUACCUUAGGGAUAACAGCGUAAUUUUUUUUUUUAGUUCAAAUAAGAAAAAAAGUUUGCGACCUCGAUGUUGGAUUAAGAUAAAAUUUAAAUGCAAAAGUUUAAAAUUUUUG